ACAUUCUGCAAUCCUAACAAAGCAUACGACCCUUUCGCCUUUUACUAAAGAGUCAUGUGUGGGGAUUGUCUAUGAUACAAUCAAUUUUUUUGGGGCGAUUCGUCGCCUA